AUUGAACGCUGGCGGCAGGCUUAACACAUGCAAGUCGAGCGGGGAAAGGUAGCUUGCUACUGGACCUAGCGGCGGACGGGUGAGUAAUGCUUAGGAAUCUGCCUAUUAGUGGGGGACAACAGUUGGAAACGGCUGCUAAUACCGCAUACGCCCUACGGGGGAAAGCGGGGGAGUCUUCGGACCUUGCGCUAAUAGAUGAGCCUAAGUCGGAUUCGCUAGUUGGUGGGGUAAAGGCCUACCAAGGCGACGAUCUGUAGCGGGUCUGAGAGGAUGAUCCGCCACACUGGGACUGAGACACGGCCCAGACUCCUACGGGAGGCAGCAGUGGGGAAUAUUGGACAAUGGGGGCAACCCUGAUCCAGCCAUGCCGCGUGUGUGAAGAAGGCCUUUUGGUUGUAAAGCACUUUAAGCGAGGAGGAGGUUACUUAGAUUAAUACUCUAGGAUAGUGGACGUUACUCGCAGAAUAAGCACCGGCUAACUCUGUGCCAGCAGCCGCGGUAAAG
rnacentral:rRNA from 1 species